rnacentral:rRNA from 1 species
UACGUAGGUGGCAAGCGUUGUUCGGAAUUAUUGGGCGUAAAGGGCGCGUAGGCGGUUUGUUAAGUCUGAUGUGAAAGCCCACGGCUCAACCGUGGAGGGUCAUUGGAAACUGGGGGACUUGAGUACAGAAGAGAAGAGUGGAAUUCCACGUGUAGCGGUGAAAUGCGUAGAGAUGUGGAGGAACACCAGUGGCGAAGGCGACUCUUUGGUCUGUAACUGACGCUGAGGCGCGAAAGCGUGGGGAGCAAACAGG